rnacentral:rRNA from 1 species
UCCUACGGGAGGCAGCAGUGAGGAAUAUUGGUCAAUGGACGCAAGUCUGAACCAGCCAUCCCGCGUGCAGGAUGACGGCCCUAUGGGUUGUAAACUGCUUUUCUAUACCAAGAAUGGUGACUACGUGUAGUUAUUUGACGGUAGUAUAGGAAUAAGCAUCGGCUAACUCCGUGCCAGCAGCCGCGGUAAUACGGAGGAUGCAAGCGUUAUCCGGAUUCAUUGGGUUUAAAGGGUGCGCAGGCGGAAUAGUAAGUCAGUGGUGAAAUCUUGCCGCUUAACGGUAAAAUUGCCAUUGAUACUGCUGUUCUUGAAUAUGGUUGAGGUAGGCGGAAUGUGUUGUGUAGCGGUGAAAUGCAUAGAUAUGACACAGAACGCCGAUUGCGAAGGCAGCUUACUAAGCCAUUAUUGACGCUGAGGCACGAAAGCGUGGGGAGCGAACAGGAUUAGAUACCCUGGUAGUCCACGCCGUAAACGAUGAUCACUCGCUGUUUGCGAUACACAGUAAGCGGCUGAGCGAAAGCAUUAAGUGAUCCACCUGGGGAGUACGAUCGCAAGGUUGAAACUCAAAUGAAUUGACGG